GUAGGGAAUAUUGGGCAAUGGAGGCAACUCUGACCCAGCCAUGCCGCGUGCAGGAUGACGGCCCUCUGGGUUGUAAACUGCUUUUAUACGGGAAGAAAAAAUACUACGUGUAGUAUACUGACGGUACCGUAAGAAUAAGGAUCGGCUAACUCCGUGCCAGCAGCCGCGGUAAUACGGAGGAUCCAAGCGUUGACCGGAUUUAUUGGGUUUAAAGGGUGCGUAGGCGGAUCUUUAAGUCAGUGGUGAAAGCCUGCAGCUUAACUGUAGAAUUGCCAUUGAAACUGAAGAUCUUGAAUGUGGUUAAAGUAGGCGGAAUGUAUCAUGUAGCGGUGAAAUGCUUAGAUAUGAUACAGAACACCGAUAGCGAAGGCAGCUUGCUGAACCAUUAUUGACGCUGAGGCACGAAAGCGUGGGGAGCGAACAGGAUUAGAAACCCCAGUAGUCC
rnacentral:rRNA from 1 species